UGUGCCAGCAGCCGCGGUAAUACGUAGGGUGCAAGCGUUAAUCGGAAUUACUGGGCGUAAAGCGUGCGCAGGCGGUUGUGCAAGACAGAUGUGAAAUCCCCGGGCUUAACCUGGGAACUGCAUUUGUGACUGCACGGCUAGAGUGCGGCAGAGGGGGAUGGAAUUCCGCGUGUAGCAGUGAAAUGCGUAGAUAUGCGGAGGAACACCGAUGGCGAAGGCAAUCCCCUGGGCCUGCACUGACGCUCAUGCACGAAAGCGUGGGGAGCAAACAGGAUUAGAUACCCUGGUAGUCCACGCCCUAAACGAUGUCAACUGGUUGUUGGACGGCUUGCUGUUCAGUAACGAAGCUAACGCGUGAAGUUGACCGCCUGGGGAGUACGGCCGCAAGGCUAAAACUCAAAUGAAUUGACGGG
rnacentral:rRNA from 1 species